GAUGAACGCUAGCGGGAGGCUUAAUACAUGCAAGUCGAACGGUAAGGUCACUUCGGUGAUACACGAGUGGCGCACGGGUGAGUAACGCGUACACGACCUACCUUCAAGAGGGGGAUAGCCCUGGGAAACUGGGAAUAAUCCGCCAUGUGAUUAAAGAUGUUAGAGGUUUUUAAUUAAAGCUACGGCGCUUGAAGAUGGGUGUGCGUCCCAUUAGCUAGUUGGUAAGGUAACGGCUUACCAAGGCUACGAUGGGUAGGGGGCGUGAGAGCGUGGACCCCCACACGGGUACUGAGACACGGACCCG
rnacentral:rRNA from 1 species